rnacentral:rRNA from 1 species
GACGAACGCUGGCGGCGUGCUUAACACAUGCAAGUCGAACGGAAAGGCCCUGCUUUUGUGGGGUGCUCGAGUGGCGAACGGGUGAGUAACACGUGAGUAACCUGCCCUUGACUGUGGGAUAACUUCAGGAAACUGGGGCUAAUACCGGAUAGGAGCUCCUGCUGCAUGGUGGGGGUUGGAAAGUUUCGGCGGUUGGGGAUGGACUCGCGGCUUAUCAGCUUGUUGGUGGGGUAGUGGCUUACCAAGGCUUUGACGGGUAGCCGGCCUGAGAGGGUGACCGGCCACAUUGGGACUGGGCUACGGCCCAGACUCCUCCGGGAGGCAGCAGUGGGGAAUAUUGCACAAUGGGCGGAAGCCUGAUGCAGCACCGCCGCGUGCGGGAUGACGGCCUUCGGGUUGUAAUCCGCUUUCGCCUGUGACGAAGCGUGAGUGACGGUAAUGGGUAAAGAAGCACCGGCUAACUACGUG